GGGGUUUUAGCUCAGUUGGGAGAGCGCCUGUUUUGCAAACAGGAGGUCAGCGGUUCGAAUCCGCUAAGCUCCACCA
rnacentral:tRNA from 1 species